CCCGCCUUGUAACCUGCUUCCUAAAUACAACCUGAGGGAAAUAUUUCCCUAGGAUCGCAGAAAUAGUCUUUAAAAAGGCCUUUUGUGACGAGACUAAACUGAGAGAGCAGCUGAAAACUUGAGGCAAAAUAAAGCAACUUCGAAAGAUUGGUGAAACGACACCUUGUGCCACGGCGCGAUCCUCAGGCAGGGAACUCCAUUACCUAUGCCGUAUCUCACGGAGAACACACCUACAACCGGCAGGAAUGACUCAGAGACCGGAACGGAUCUCCUGCUGCUCUCCUCAACCAGCCGGAGCCGCCUCGCUGCCAACACCGCCAGGUCGUGCUCACACACCGCGCUGCAUCCGGUGAGAGGAUUA